CAAAGUAUAGCUCAACAUGUUAAAGCAUCUCACUUACACCGAGAAGUUAUCUGUGCAAAUCAGAUUACUUUGA
rnacentral:tRNA from 1 species